rnacentral:rRNA from 1 species
CAGUCGCCACGGUAAUACGUAGGGUGCGAGCGUUAAUCGGAAUUACUGGGCGUAAAGCGUGCGCAGGCGGUUAUGUAAGACAGGUGUGAAAUCCCCGGGCUUAACCUGGGAACUGCGCUUGUGACUGCACAGCUAGAGUAUGGCAGAGGGGGGUGGAAUUCCACGUGUAGCAGUGAAAUGCGUAGAGAUGUGGAGGAACACCGAUGGCGAAGGCAGCCCCUGGGCCAAUACUGACGCUCAUGCACGAAAGCGUGGGGAGCAAACAGGAUUAGAUACCCCCGUAGUCCCUGUCUCUUAUACA